GACGAACUGUCCUAACGUUGUUCGGAAUCACUGGGCUUAAAGGGCGCGUAGGCGGUCCGACAAGUCAGGGGUGAAAUCCUGCAGCUUAACUGCAGAAGUGCCUUUGAUACUGUCGGUCUCGAGGGAGAUAGGGGUGUGCGGAACUCACAGUGGAGCGGUGAAAUGCGUUGAUAUUGUGAGGAACGCCGGAGGCGAAAGCGGCGCACUGGAUCUCUUCUGACGCUGAGGCGCGAAAGCUAGGGGAGCAAACGGG
rnacentral:rRNA from 1 species